rnacentral:lncRNA from 1 species
CUAACACAGAGGCAAGGGGCACCCCCUCUUCAGACAAUGAGCUUCUGAGCCUCCCCCCAACUCUUUCUGACAGGGACAUUUGGGGUCAUAUGAUUGGGCCUAGCAAUGCAUGAGAUCAAUUAAGAGUGGUUGAGAGGAGGGUUUGAAAGGCCCCUGAGGUGACCCUGCCUGAUGGUAAGGACCCAGGGCCUGGGAGCCCCUGCCUGGUGGUAAGGACCCAGGGCCUGGGAGCCCCUACCUCCAGCAGCUCUACCCCUGUCUCCCUCCCCAGGCUAAUCAAGACCAGAGGUGGGUCAAGGAGCCAGAUAUUUAUCUGAACCAGUGAAUAGCUCCUCCAGCUGGGAUGGUACUCAGGACGUGGUGAAGACGAGCAUCCUGCUGUGGUCACUGAGGGUAACGAACAGAGAUGGAAGCCCCACAUUCCUACCCGAGCGAGAAGGGUUCUCUUGUACCCUCUUAACCCCAGACCCUGGUCCUAGUGACAGGGACACCUCUCUAACCCCUCACUCACCCAGCUGGGCACCAGAUCAACUGCAGUUACCAAAGCAGGUCAGACAAGGUUAAGCAGCUCCAUCAGGAUAAUCUGGGAUGAUGGUGUCUGCUAAGCUGUGUGACUUUAUAAUGGGGGAAUACUGGUAGGACUGGGUAGAGUCCCAGUUUAUGACCUCUACAAUGACCCUAGACUUGAUCCCUGUGUAGCCAUCUUGCUCACUGACAUGACCCUCUGACCCCAUAGUUAUGAAGCCACAGGAAUAACUAGAACUAAUCAGGUGACUGUAAAGAGGGCUUGACAUACACAAUGAGGUACUAAGACCUCCAAUCAAACACAAAGUGUCCUUAUUAACUCAUGGAUUAAAUCAGGAUCCAUCUAUGCAUGUCUACAUAGUUACAUACCAUGAUUAUAUUAUUAACAUAUGUACUUCUGGAUUAUAAUAACUGCCAAAAUAAUGGAAACACUUCACUAAAAGCAGGUGCUUCCAUACAGGUGUGGUUCCUGAGUUAAUUAAGCAAUUAACAUCCCAUCAUGCUUAGGGACAUGUAUAAAAGUCCUGGGCAUGCCAUUAUUUUGGCAACCAUGCCUAUGCCCCAAUAGGAUGACAAUGCCCCCAUCCACAGGGCACAAGUGGUCACUGAAUGGUUUGAUGAGCAUGAAAAUGAUGUAUGAAAAUGUACGAAUAAUGCCAUGGCCAUCUCAAUUUAUGGAAUUUCUAAUGUAAUGGUGUCGCAUCCCUCCGAUAGAGUUCCAGACACUUGUAGAAUCUAUGCCAAGGUUCAUUGAAGCUGUUCUGGCUCGUGGUGGCCCAACGCCCUGUUGAGGCACUUUGUUAUUUUUUUGAUAUCUGUUGACAAAUUUUCUAAAAGACAAAAACGGAACAGGAACACAGAAUGAAAAGUCUAGACCACCAGUCUUGUUCCACCAGAGUGCAAAGCUAUAUCACAUCACAACACGCCAUCUUGAGUUCAUUUGAGAGGGAGCUAGAACAGCGACAGCAGCUUUAGCCAAUCUGUUCCUAUCAUCAUAUUAGUGGAAUGCUCACCCCACCGGGUGGCAGGUAUGUGGGCCUGCUAAAGGCCAGGCUGAUGGGGAUCACAUGACCUGGCUGUCAGGCAGGCAGAGAAAGUGGCAGAUCAGCUCCCAGAGUGUUUCUGGCUCUGUUGUGCAAAUACUGCUGCUCUGCGCUGCCUGCUAGUGGGAGUACAGAGAGAUGCAGGCCAUCCCUGAGGGGGUUCCCUCUUCUUCAACCAACCUCUCUGAUUUACUGACCAAAUGGUUACUUAACCUUAUAUAAGAUGAUACAGAAUGGCUGUCACCGUGACAACACAACAGAACACACUGAUUCUGUUACCAUGGCACCACCUCACCUCUCCUCAUUUGAUGGGCUUCCAUGACUUAACAUAAGGCCAUUUGUAUUGCAUGAGACUUAAAUCAACACAAAAGGUGAACCUCAACCUGCCGUCAGCGAUGAUGGUAAAAAGAAUAGUCUGAGUGACUCACCUGAAGUGCAAUCUAUGUAAAUGGAAAACAUUGUGUAACAGGCUGUAGUCAUAGGAAGGUAGUCAUAGAGUACAUUCACACACACUCUUAAAUAUGCAUACGGAGGAUGUACUCACAGACAUUCCCUGUAUUGUCAAAACCUCGUCCACUCUGAUGGGCCCAAUGUUAUCGUGUGUGUGUGUGUGUGUAAGCUGCAAGGUGCUCGGCGUACUCAUAGGACAACAAGCAUCUCAAACCCACCUGAGAAAGGCGAUGUAUCCUGACUGGUUGCAUCACUGCCUGGUACGGCAAUUGCUCGGCCUCUGAUUGCAAGGCACUACAGAGGGUAGUGCGUACGGCCCAGUACAUCACUGGGGCUAAGCUGCCUGCCAUCCAGGACCUCUACACCAGGCAGUGUCAGAGGAAGGCCCUAAAAAUUGUCAAAGAACCCAGCCACCCCAGUCAUAGACUGUUCUCUCUACUACCGCAUGGAAAGCGGUACCGGAGUGCCAAGUCUAGGACAAAAAGGCUUCUCAACAGUUUUUACCCCCAAGCCAUAAGACUCCUGAACAGGUAAUCAAAUGGCUACCCGGACUAUUUGCCUUGUGUGCCCCCCUCCUCCCCAACCCCUUUUUACGCUGCUGC